GGGUGUCGAUCGACAGGGGGUGU
rnacentral:siRNA from 1 species